GCUUUAACAGUAUGUACCGGUGGGAAGCUUAUUAUGGGAAAUUUGCCAAAGGAAGACUGAUAUUUUUGGGGGGAUUUUCAGUUUCUAAAUCCAACUGUGAGAAGAAUUUUGAGUGGGAGUAGGGUUUAAUGAUGCAUAAAAAAAUUUAUCAGAGAAGUAACCCUGGGGGUAAGUGACCAAAAAAUUUGAUCAUAGCUUGUUGUGGAGAAAGACAUGUACAUAUCCUUGAUACUGUGGAAGACAAGAGGGGUUGCUCUGAUGGCAAGCAACCUCUACUUCCAACCGAGAGGUUGUGAGUUUGAGUCUCCCCAAGAGCAAAGUGAGAAGUUCUUGGAGGGAAGGAUGCCGGAGGUAUAUUUGGAAACAGUCUCUCUAUCCUAGAGUAGGGGUGAGGUCUGCAUACACACUACCCUCUCCAAACCUCAUUAAGUAAGAUUAUACUGGAUUGUUGUGCUCAAUUUGUUAUGGUAAGAUGAAAGGUAAUGUUUCCAGAUGUCAAGCCCGAUUAUAGUAGUAACUGGAAAGUAAUUUUUUCUCCUCAUAUCUAGGUAGUGGUCCAUUGAUGCAAUUGCGGAGGGUGAAAUGUGGUUUGAUCCAAGGGUCCGACCAAAAAUGCACACGGUGACCAGUGACAAGGUUCCAUUGGUAGCCUAAUUUACAGGACAACCAACCCCGCAUUAUGUUCCUCCAAGUGGAGGAGACAAUAUUUUUUUCUUGAUCUUUGGGACGUAGAUAUUUAUGCAAUAAUACUUGUGCCCAAAUUUGAUUUGAAUUUUGAAAGGGUCACCAUGCAAGGCUUGCGUG
rnacentral:lncRNA from 1 species